UACGUAGGUGGCGAGCGUUAUCCGGAUUUACUGGGCGUAAAGCGAGCGCAGGCGGAUUUGCACGUCUGGUGUUAAAGAUAGAUGCCUAACAUUUAUAUGCAUUGGAAACUGCAAGUCUAGAGUGUAGUAGAGAGUUUUGGAACUCCAUGUGGAGCGGUGGAAUGCGUAGAUAUAUGGAAGAACACCAGAGGCGAAGGCGAAAACUUAGGCUAUUACUGACGCUCAGGUGCGAAAGCGUGGGGAGCAAACAGG
rnacentral:rRNA from 1 species